UUUUGUUAUAUAGAGGUUUUGAAAACCUUUUUGGAGAAAGAAUUUCUCAACAAAAA
rnacentral:tRNA from 1 species